UACGAAGGGGGCUAGCGUUGCUCGGAAUUACUGGGCGUAAAGCGCACGUAGGCGGCUCUUUAAGUCGGGGGUGAAAUCCUGGAGCUCAACUCCAGAACUGCCUUCGAUACUGAAGAGCUCGAGUCCGGGAGAGGUGAGUGGAACUGCGAGUGUAGAGGUGAAAUUCGUAGAUAUUCGCAAGAACACCAGUGGCGAAGGCGGCUCACUGGCCCGGUACUGACGCUGGAGGCGACGAAAGCGUGGGGAGCAAACAGG
rnacentral:rRNA from 1 species